rnacentral:rRNA from 1 species
GUGGCGGAGCGUCGUUUGCGACGCCCAACACACAAAACAAGCGGUGAGUGCUUUGGGGUGGGGUGACUGCGUACCUUUUGUAUAAUGGGUCAGCGACUUAUAUUCUGUAGCAAGGUUAACCGUAUAGGGGAGCCGAAGGGAAACCGAGUCUUAACUGGGCGUUAAGUUGCAGGGUAUAGACCCGAAACCCGGUGAUCUAGCCAUGGGCAGGUUGAAGGUUGGGUAACACUAACUGGAGGACCGAACCGACUAAUGUUGAAAAAUUAGCGGAUGACUUGUGGCUGGGGGUGAAAGGCCAAUCAAACCGGGAGAUAGCUGGUUCUCCCCGAAAGCUAUUUAGGUAGCGCCUCGUGAACUCAUCUUCGGGGGUAGAGCACUGUUUCGGCUAGGGGGUCAUCCCGACUUACCAACCCGAUGCAAACUGCGAAUACCGAAGAAUGUUAUCACGGGAGACACACGGCGGGUGCUAACGUCCGUCGUGAAGAGGGAAACAACCCAGACCGCCAGCUAAGGUCCCAAAGUCACAGUUAAGUGGGAAACGAUGUGGGAAGGCUCAGACAGCCAGGAUGUUGGCUUAGAAGCAGCCAUCAUUUAAAGAAAGCGUAAUAGCUCACUGGUCGAGUCGGCCUGCGCGGAAGAUGUAACGGGGCUAAACUGUGCACCGAAGCUGCGGCAGCGACGCUUAUGCGUUGUUGGGUAGGGGAGCGUUCUGUAAGCCUGCGAAGGUGUCCUGUGAGGGAUGCUGGAGGUAUCAGAAGUGCGAAUGCUGACAUAAGUAACGAUAA